rnacentral:rRNA from 1 species
GAUGAACGCUGGCGUCGUGCUUAACACAUGCAAGUCGAACGGAGUUCUGAUGUGUGAAGCGAAGUAGCUUGCUACGGAGUGGAACUUUUCAGAACUUAGUGGCGGACGGGUGAGUAACGCGUGGGUAACCUGCCUCAUACAGGGGGAUAACAGUUAGAAAUGACUGCUAACACCGCAUAACAUGGCGAGACCGCAUGACCUUGCCAUCAAAAAUUUAUGGUAUGAGAUGGGCCCGCGUCUGAUUAGCUAGUUGGUGGGGUAAUGGCCUACCAAGGCGACGAUCAGUAGCCGGCUUGAGAGAGUGACCGGCCACAUUGGGACUGAGACACGGCCCAAAACUCCUACGGGAGGCAGCAGUGGGGAAUAUUGGACAAUGGGGGCAAGGUCUGACCCAGCAACGCCGCGUGAAGGAAGAAGGGCUUUCGGGUUGUAAACUUCUUUAAGUGGUAAGAGCAGAAAGACGGUACCAACUUGAAUAAGCCACGGCUAACUACGUGCCAG